rnacentral:rRNA from 1 species
GGGGAAUAUUGGACAAUGGGCGAAAGCCUGAUCCAGCAAUGCCGCGUGAGUGAUGAAGGCCUUAGGGUUGUAAAGCUCUUUUACCAGGGAUGAUAAUGACAGUACCUGGAGAAUAAGCUCCGGCUAACUCCGUGCCAGCAGCCGCGGUAAUACGGAGGGAGCUAGCGUUGUUCGGAAUUACUGGGCGUAAAGCGCACGUAGGCGGCGACUCAAGUCAGAGGUGAAAGCCCGGGGCUCAACCCCGGAAGUGCCUUUGAAACUAGGUUGCUAGAAUCUUGGAGAGGUCAGUGGAAUUCCGAGUGUAGAGGUGAAAUGCGUAGAUAUUCGGAAGAACACCAGUGGCGAAGGCGACUGACUGGACAAGUAUUGACGCUGAGGUGCGAAAGCGUGGGGAGCAAAC